CUACAAUUCUCCUGUUGUGUGUUGUGUACCAGAUCAACCAGUCCCAGUUCAACAUGCACGUGGAGUACAGCUGCAUCAGGAUGAUCUGUACGAGAGUGAUGACGACCUGGACGACAAGACGGGUCCGGUGAAGAAGGAUGGAUCCGGCCCUUCAGUCUGUACCAGACCCACACCAGCUCCUCCAGCCAGGACCGAGGACUAGCAGGAGGAGGAGGAGAUGGACUCUUCAGUGUGGGUCGCAGGCUGGCCCUGGUCCGUGAUCAGAAGCGUGAAGUUUACGCCAUUCCCAGCGCUCACACAUGCAGCAUGGACAGCUCCCUGUCACCUUCACCCUCCUCACCUGCUCCCCCUUUCCCUCCCAGAGUCAAAGGUCCAAACGUCCCUCCCCCUCCUACCCAGUCAGCCAACCUGAGGGCUUGUGUGAUGUCAUCAUCCCCACCACCAGUAGCAGC